rnacentral:rRNA from 1 species
AUUGAACGCUGGCGGCAUGCCUUACACAUGCAAGUCGAACGGUAACAGGUCUUCGGAUGCUGACGAGUGGCGAACGGGUGAGUAAUACAUCGGAACGUGCCCGAUCGUGGGGGAUAACGGAGCGAAAGCUUUGCUAAUACCGCAUACGAUCUACGGAUGAAAGCAGGGGACCGCAAGGCCUUGCGCGGACGGAGCGGCCGAUGGCAGAUUAGGGAGUUGGUGGGAUAAAAGCUUACCAAGCCGACGAUCUGUAGCUGGUCUGAGAGGACGACCAGCCACACUGGGACUGAGACACGCCCCAGACUCCUACGGGAGGCAGCAGUGGGGAAUUUUGGACAAUGGGCGAAAGCCUGAUCCAGCCAUGCCGCGUGCAGGAUGAAGGCCUUCGGGUUGUAAACUGCUUUUGUACGGAACGAAAAGCCUCUUUCUAAUAAAGAGAGGUCAUGACGGUACCGUAAGAAUAAGCACCGGCUAACUACGUGCCAGCAGCCGCGGUAACAC